rnacentral:misc_RNA from 1 species
GAUGAAGAACGUAGCGAAAUGCGAUAAGUAAUGUGAAUUGCAGAACUCAGUGAAUCAUCGAAUCUUUGAACGCACAUUGCGCCCCCUGGUAUUCCGGGGGGCAUGCCUGUUCGAGCGUCAUUUCACCACUCAAGCCUCGCUUGGUAUUGGGCAACGCGGUCCGCCGCGUGCCUCAAAUCGACCGGCUGGGUCUUCUGUCCCCUAAGCGUUGUGGAAACUUUCGCUAAAGGGUGUUCGGGAGGCUACGCCGUAAAACAACCCCAUUUCUAAGGUUGACCUCGGAUCAGGUAGGGAUACCCGCUGAACUUAAGCAUAUCAAUAAGCGGAGGA